CCUACGGGCGGCAGCAGUGGGGAAUAUUGCGCAAUGGGCGAAAGCCUGACGCAGCGACGCCGCGUGAGGGAUGAAGGUCCUCGGAUCGUAAACCUCUGUCAGCAGGGAAGAACGGCCACUGUGCUAAUCAGCAGUGAAUUGACGGUACCUGCAAAGGAAGCACCGGCUAACUCCGUGACAGCAGCCGCGGUAAUACGGAGGGGGCGAGCCUUAAUCGGAAUUACUGGGCGUAAAGCGCGCGUAGGCGGUAUGUCAAGUCAAGGGUGAAAUCCCCGCGCUCAACGUGGGAACUGCCUUUGAAACGGGCAAACUGGAGUGUGUGGGAGGAUGGUGAAAUUCCAGGUGUAGGAGUGAAAGCCG
rnacentral:rRNA from 1 species